rnacentral:lncRNA from 1 species
CCAAAUAUAUUUGAGGACAAAUGUGGUAUAGACAGGGGCGAAGCUGACACGCAUACAAGAAAGACCGACGCCAUCUCUACAGGGAAGCCAGAGAUGCAUCGUUCAGGUGGCUGAAACUGUCACACAGUUGCAUUCACAGCCAUGUCGCACCUGACAAAUCCAUUCGAAAAAUAGAAGAAUUGAUCCGUUAUGCACUUAAAGAAACAGAAAAACAUAAGAGUUUAUCUCUCAUUCUUAAGUAGCUGCUAUCUAUAACCAGUGUGCCAGUGUGGAUUUCCACACCUGAGAGCGGUCAGGGCUUCAUUGUUUGCUGAGGUUGCUUCCCCAGAGAUAAAAGUUGCAUGUAGCCCAAAAAAAAGUCGUAUGCAGGUCUCCUAGGAAAUUAAAGUGACUUGGAAGCAGUCUUAAUACUCUAGGGGUUUGCCAAUUAUUUAAUUAAUAAUUUGGAUUAUAUACGAAUAUAACAAAGUUUUUUUUUUCUUUUUUCUUUUUUUUUUUUUCCGGAGCUGGGGACCGAACCCAGGGCCUUGCGCUUCCUAGGUGGUUUGUUCUGGAUGCAGAAACAAGAGAUCUGGUAUCAAUCCACACAGAUGGGAAUGAGCAGCUCUCGGUGAUGCGCUACUCAGUGGAUGGUACUCUUCUGGCUGUGGGAUCUCAUGACAACUUUAUUUACCUCUAUGCAGUCUCAGAAAAUGGAAGAAAAUACAGCAGAUAUGGAAAGUGCACU